rnacentral:rRNA from 1 species
ACGGAAGGCAGCAGUGGGGAAUAUUGGGCAAUGGGCGAAAGCCUGACCCAGCAACGCCGCGUGAGGGAAGAAGGUUUUCGGAUUGUAAACCUCUGUCCUAGGUGACGAAGGAAGUGACGGUAGCCAAGGAGGAAGCCCCGGCUAACUACGUGCCAGCAGCCGCGGUAAUACGUAGGGGGCGAGCGUUGUCCGGAAUGACUGGGCGUAAAGGGCGUGUAGGCGGCCGACUAAGUCUGGAGUGAAAGUCCUGCUUUCAAGGUGGGAAUUGCUUUGGAGACUGGUUGGCUUGAGUGCGGAAGAGGUAAGUGGAAUUCCCAGUGUAGCGGUGAAAUGCGUAGAGAUUGGGAGGAACACCAGUGGCGAAGGCGACUUACUGGGCCGUAACUGACGCUGAGGCGCGAAAGCGUGGGGAGCGAACAGGAUUAGAUACCCUGGUA